GGACAGAUGGACACUGACCAUCCCUGACCAUCCCCUGGUCAUCAUUGAUCAUCAUUGAUCACCCCUGGUCAUCAUUGACCAUCACUGACCAUCCCUGAUCACCCAUGGUCGGCGUUGGAGAUGUCGAACACCGCGCCCACCGCGGCCGUGUCCACCCCACCUGGAUGGACAGAUGGACACUGACCAUCACUGACCAUCCCUGACCAUCACUGACCAUCCCUGACCAUCACUGACCAUCCCUGAUCACCCCUGGUCAUCAUUGAUCAUCCCUGAUCAUCCCUGAUCAUCACUGACCAUCACUGACCAUCCCUGACCAUCACUGACCAUCACUGACCAUCCCUGAUCACCCAUGGUCGGCGUUGGAGAUGUCGAACACCGCGCCCACCGCGGCCGUGUCCACCCCACCCGGAUGGACAGAUGGACACUGACCAUCACUGACCACCCCUGGUCACCCCUGAUGGACACUGACCAUCCCUGACCAUCCCUGACCACUCAGUGACCAUCACUGACCAUCACUGACCAUCCCUGACCAUCACUGACCAUCCCUGACCAUCACUGACCAUCAUUGAUCACCCAGGGUUCCACUGUGUCCACCCCACCUGGAUGGACAGAUGGACACUGACCAUCCCUGACCACUCAGUGACCAGUCAUGACCAUCCCUGAUCACCCCUGACCAUCACUGACCAUCACUGACCAUCCCUGACCAUCCCUGACCAUCACUGACCAUCCCUG